rnacentral:tRNA from 1 species
GGUAAGAUGGCUGAGAGUAAGCAUUAGACUGUAAAUCUAAAGACAGGGGUAGUACCCCUUUUUACCA